GGGGAAUAUUGGACAAUGGGGGCAACCCUGAUCCAGCAAUGCCGCGUGUGUGAAGAAGGUCUUCGGAUUGUAAAGCACUUUCGACGGGGACGAUGAUGACGGUACCCGUAGAAGAAGCCCCGGCUAACUUCGUGCCAGCAGCCGCGGUAAUACGAAGGGGGCUAGCGUUGCUCGGAAUGACUGGGCGUAAAGGGCGUGUAGGCGGUUUACACAGUCAGAUGUGAAAUCCCCGGGCUUAACCUGGGAGCUGCAUUUGAUACGUGUAGACUAGAGUGUGAGAGAGGGUUGUGGAAUUCCCAGUGUAGAGGUGAAAUUCGUAGAUAUUGGGAAGAACACCGGUGGCGAAGGCGGCAACCUGGCUCAUGACUGACGCUGAGGCGCGAAAGCGUGGGGAGCAAACAGGAUUAGAUACCCUGGUAGUCCACGCUGUAAACGAUGUGUGCUAGAUGUUGGGUAACUUUGGUU
rnacentral:rRNA from 1 species